rnacentral:rRNA from 1 species
CUACGGGUCGCACCAGUUGGGAAUAUUGCACAAUGGAGGAAACUCUGAUGCAGCAACGCCGCGUGGAGGAUGACACUUUUCGGAGCGUAAACUCCUUUUAUAUAGGAAGAAGAUGACGGUACUAUAUGAAUAAGCGCCGGCUAACUCCGUGCCAGCAGCCGCGGUAAUACGGAGGGCGCAAGCGUUACUCGGAAUCACUGGGCGUAAAGAGCGUGUAGGCGGAUUAAAAAGUCAGAAGUGAAAUCCUAUAGCUUAACUAUAGAGCUGCUUCUGAAACUCUUAAUCUAGAAUAUGGGAGAGGUAGAUGGAAUUUCUGGUGUAGGGGUAAAAUCCGUAGAGAUCAGAAGGAAUACCGAUUGCGAAGGCGAUCUACUAGAACAUUAUUGACGCUGAGACGCGAAAGCGUGGGGAGCAAACAGGAUUAGAUACCCCGGUAGUC